AAUCUAUUGUCGUGACUGUAUCCACCGCCACCAUUGUUUGGCUACUGAUACUGACUCCACCUGCGAUUUGCUAAACAACAUCAUUACUCAGAUGAAGUUCAAUUGUGACUGCAACAAAUACAUUCCUUACUGCGAGUUUCUGGGACACCAGCGUGAGUGCCCGUCUGCCAAAUAUUCCACUCAUCCUGCCCGGUGGAGGAAGUGCAUCCUGAAGACAAGUUUCCUUCAGUGUUCCGAAUGCAAGGUUCCUCUCCGGCCUCCCAUUUUCUCGCUUUGGUUUCAUAACCGUCUCAUUUGUAGCGCCUGCUACCGUGCUGAUAUCGGCACCUACCGUCACUGUACUGAGCUCGAGUACCUCCUCCAAGGUAUAACGGUCAAAUGCAUUGCCUGCAAACA